rnacentral:tRNA from 1 species
UGUGGCUCAGUGGUAGAGCGCUUGCCUAGCACGUGUGAGGCACUGGGUUCAAUUCUCAGCA